rnacentral:rRNA from 1 species
GACGAACGCUGGCGGUGUGCUUAACACAUGCAAGUGGAGCGACGAACCAGGGCUUGCCCUGGGGCAGAGCCGCGAACGGGUGAGUAACACGUGGGUAACUUACCCCGCUUACCGGGACAACCCGAGGAAACUCGGGCUAAUACCUGAUGUGCUCUCCUCCCAUGCGGGAGGCGAGUAAAGGAAGCUUCGGCCUCCGGAUCGGGAGCGGCCCGCGGCCGAUUAGUUUGUUGGUGGGGUAACGGCCUACCAAGACUGCGAUCGGUAGCUGGUCUGAGAGGACGAUCAGCCACACUGGAACUGAGACACGGCCCAGACUCCUACGGGAGGCAGCAGUGGGGAAUCUUGCGCAAUGGGCGAAAGCGUGACGCAGCAACACCGCGUGGGGGAAGAAGGCCUUCGGGUUGUAAACCCCUUUCAGGAGGGAAGAAGGACGGCCGGUGAAUCGACGUGCGGGUUGACGGUACCUACACAAGAAGCCCCGGCUAACUACGUG